GGCCAUUGCUAUCGGAGUCCGAUUUAGCCAUGCUAGUCGCACGGGUUUAGACCCGUGGCAGAUAGCUCAGUAACACGUGGCCAAACUGCCCUAUGGAUGGAGACAACCUCGGGAAACUGAGGCUAAUUUCCAAUACAGCUCCCGUGCUGGAGUGCAGAGAGCUGGAAACGCUCCGGCGCCAUAGGAUGUGGCUGCGGCCGAUUAGGUAGACGGUGGGGUAACGGCCCACCGUGCCGAUAAUCGGUACGGGUUGUGAGAGCAAGAGCCCGGAGACGGAAUCUGAGACAAGAUUCCGGGCCCUACGGGGCGCAGCAGGCGCGAAACCUUUACACUGUACGACAGUGCGAUAAGGGGACUCCGAGUGCGAGGGCAUACAGUCCUCGCUUUUCUGACCGUAAGGUGGUACAGGAACAAGUGCUGGGCAAGACCGGUGCCAGCCGCCGCGGUAAUACCGGCAGCACCAGUGAUGGGCGCUAUUAUUGGGCCUAAAGCGUCCGUAGCCCGGCGAGCAAGUUCGUCGGGAAAUCUGCCCGCUUAACGGCAAGGCGUCGCGGAAACUGUU
rnacentral:rRNA from 1 species